GAAUAUUGGACAAUGGGGGCAACCCUGAUCCAGCCAUGCCGCGUGGGUGAAGAAGGCCUUUUGGUUGUAAAGCACUUUAAGCAGUGAAGAAGACUCCAUGGUUAAUACCCAUGGUAGAUGACAUUACCUGCAAAAUAAGCAACGGCAAACGCUGUGCGAGCAGCCGCGGUAAUACAGAGGGUGCAAGCGUUAAUCGGAAUUACUGGGCGUAAAGCGAGCGUAGGUGGCUUGAUAAGUCAGAUGUGAAAUCCCCGGGCUUAACCUGGGAACUGCAUCUGAUACUGUUAGGCUAGAAUAGGUGAGAGGAAGGUAGAAUUCCAGGUGUAGCGGUGAAAUGCGUAGAGAUCUGGAGGAAUACCGAUGGCGAAGGCAGCCUUCUGGCAUCAUAUUGACACUGAGGUUCGAAAGCGUGGGUAGCAAAC
rnacentral:rRNA from 1 species